GAUGAACGCUGGCGGCGUGCUUAACACAUGCAAGUCGAACGGUGAAGCAGGAGCUUGCUCCUGUGGAUCAGUGGCGAACGGGUGAGUAACACGUGAGCAAUCUGCCCUGGACUCUGGGAUAAGCGUUGGAAACGACGUCUAAUACCGGAUACGAGGCGUGGGGGCAUCCCCAACGCCUGGAAAGAACUUCGGUCCAGGAUGAGCUCGCGGCCUAUCAGGUAGUUGGUGAGGUAACGGCUCACCAAGCCCACGACGGGUAGCCGGCCUGAGAGGGUGACCGGCCACACUGGGACUGAGACACGGCCCAGACUCCUACGGGAGGCAGCAGUGGGGAAUAUUGCACAAUGGGCGCAAGCCUGAUGCGGCAACGCCGCGUGAGGGACGACGGCCUUCGGGUUGUAAACCUCUUUUAGCUGGGAAGAAGCGAAAGUGACGGUACCUGCAGAAAAAGCACCGGCUAACUACGUGCCAGCCGCCGCGGUAAGAC
rnacentral:rRNA from 1 species